rnacentral:lncRNA from 1 species
UGGGCGAUUUCUUCGCCGGCUUUCUUUGUGGCGGCGUAAAGGCUAGCCGGUUGGUCUGUCCGGUCGCGUUCGGAGAAUGGGUUUUCGGUGUUGAGGCCGUAAACGGAGCUCGAUGAUGCCCAAACAAUGGAUGGCUGAGGAUUGGCUGCUUUGGCUACUUCGAGCAAGUUAACAAAGCCUGCAAUGUUGGAGCUGAUGUACGACUGUGGGUUUUGCAUGGCGUAACGUACGCCGGCCUGAGCCGCUAAGUGAAGGACGUGAGUGAAGGGCACAACGUCGAAUAGCUUGGUCAGCAAUGGCCCGUCGUUCAAGUCACCUUCGACGAUGAAAACUUGGUGCUUA